AUGGAUCACCUAACGCCUGAGGGCGAGGCGAUUUAUGAGACGAUUACUCAGGCAAGCGAGGUGGCUCAUCUCCGCCACCAGAAAGAGCUCGACGCGCUUAUUGUGAAGAUCGUGGGGAGCGCAGUGGAGGCAGCGGUGUCGCGCUCUGUUGGAGCGGUGGUCGAUAAGGCCGUCGAGGCGGCGAUGGAGACGGUCGUCAAUGACCUCCAGGCGUACACCAAUGGCGCCGAGGCGGAGCUACUCAAGCAGAUCCAGGACCUGCGCAUCGCCAAGGGCACCUCCUUCCGCACUAGAGAGAUGGAGGGGUGCGAGCGCUCGCCGAAGGGGCCGCCAGAUGCAGGCGUCACGGGGCUUCGUGCAUCCACGCAAGUUCGGGGUACAUGA
rnacentral:rRNA from 1 species